UACGAAGGGGGCUAGCGUUGCUCGGAUUGACUGGGCGUAAAGGGCGCGUAGGCGGUUCGUAAAGUCAGACGUGAAAUUCCUGGGCUCAACCUGGGGGCUGCGUUUGAUACGUGCGGACUUGAGUGCGGAAGAGGGUCGUGGAAUUCCCAGUGUAGAGGUGAAAUUCGUAGAUAUUGGGAAGAACACCGGUGGCGAAGGCGGCGACCUGGUCCGAUACUGACGCUGAGGCGCGAAAGCGUGGGGAGCAAACAGG
rnacentral:rRNA from 1 species